CCAAUAGCGUAUAUUAAAGUUGUUGCAGUUAAAAAGCUCGUAGUUGAAUUUCGGGAUCAAGUCGUCGGUCGUGCCUCGGUACGCACUGGUGACAUUGGUUUCUCCCUUCUGAAGAACCUUGAUGUCAUUAAUUUGGUGUCUUGGGGAAUCAGGACUGUUACUUUGAAAAAAUUAGAGUGUUUAAAGCAGGCUCACGCUUGAAUACAUUAGCAUGGAAUAAUGAAAUAGGACGUUUGAUUCUAUUUUGUUGGUUUCUAGGAUUGACGUAAUGAUUAAUAGGGAUAGUUGGGGGCAUUAGUAUUCAAUUGUCAGAGGUGAAAUUCUUGGAUUUAUUGAAGACUAACUACUGCGAAAGCAUUUGCCAAGGAUGUUUUCAUUAAUCAAGAACGAAAGUUAGGGGAUCGAAGACGAUCAGAUACCGUCGUAGUCUUAACCAUAAACUAUGCCGACUAGGGAUCGGAUGAUGUUAAUUUUUUAAUGACUCAUUCGGCGCCUUACG
rnacentral:misc_RNA from 1 species